GCAAGGAACAAGUGGCGCGCUCCAGCGACUAUCUCGAUGGGCAACUGACCUUUCGUGAGCGUUUGUUCAUGCGCCAACACUUGCUGUUUUGCGGUCAUUGCCGGCGUUUCAUGCGCCAGAUGCGCUUGAUGCAGGCCACCUUGCGCAUCCUGCCCGAACCCGAAGUGGCCGAUGCCGAAGGGUUGGCCGAGCGCCUGGCCUCGGAGCUCAAGCACAACUCCUGACCCAGCGCUGCCUGCGGUUGCCAAAGCCUGCGACGUCCCCGUCGUGGGCU
rnacentral:sRNA from 1 species